rnacentral:tRNA from 1 species
AGUGUGUAGCUCAAUGCUUGAGCACUUGCCUAGUAUGCACAGGGUCCUGGGUUCAAUUCCUAGUACUA